GGAAUGAGCUCUGGGUUUAGCUGGCAUUAGAAUCGUGGAGUCCUUGGUCUUCUGGUGGGCAGACAGGCUCUGAGGGGCCACAAGCUUUCCGAACCUUGUGCAUGUGGUGGGGAGCAGGAUUCCCACCCACCUCUGCAGUCUGAGCUUCGCCACUGCAUGGGUCCCCUGCCCAUGUGGGAGGAAAGGCACUGGGGACCUUGGGCUAUAGCAGGUCCAGGCGGGCCACAGGGGAGGGUGAGGGGUGUACAAGCCUGGCCCAUGGACAUGCAGACUCACAAGAAAUAUAAUCCCUGCACGGUAAUUACUCCAUUUGACAGCUGAGAAGACCGAGGCUUUGGAAGGCAGCCUGCUCAUGUCAUAUGACAAGCUCCAAAGCCUUGCCCUUUCUACCAUCUCUUCCUGCCCCAGGGGCUAUGAGAAGUCUGGAGAACCUUGGGAAGGAGAGGUGGGUUGGGGAUGCUUCCUGGAGGAGACUGUACCUGGGCAGCACCUUGGACCAGGCAGUGGCUAGCUGGCUUGGUGGGGAGAUGGCUUUUCAGACAGAGAGAGGAGUUUGUGUAAAGAUCCCGGGAACUGAAUGCCAGUCUUCUCUUGGGCACCAUGCUUGGCUGUUCUGACUGCUUUCUCUGAAGUAUUUUCCUGGCUCAUCCUCUCCUCCCAGGUGGUUAACUUCCAUUCUGCUUCCUCUCCCACAGAUUCUCUCUCCCUACAUGACCUCAUCCAUGCCCUUGGCUUCAGCUACCAUCUCUCUGCCAAUGACAUGAACAUCUCUCUCCCAUAAGAACUGUACAUCCCACUGCCUACUUGACCCCUUCAGUUCAGUGUCUUAAAGGGACUUGAAAUGCCAACAGGCCCCAAAGAGAAUGUCCAUUCCAGGGCUCUUGUCUCUGGGCCUGGUAACAGCCUUCAGCCUGCAGCCUGUACCCAGGGCAGAGUCAGCCUGACACCUCCUCCUCCCUCACCUCCACAGGUGAGCCCUCACCAAGGCCCAUGGAUCCUGUCUCCAUCCACAUUUCCCAUCUCCACUUCUGCUGUCCUGUCUGAGCUACCAUCCCCUGCCUGGAUUAUAGCAAAGCCUCCCCAAAUGGGCUG
rnacentral:lncRNA from 1 species